UUGGAUAGAAAUCAAUCAAGUCCCUCGCUGCAACGGCGGGGGAAGAAACCGCCACGCCGGCAGCGGUUUCGUCGGCAGCCAAGGCUGCCCGGUCUCGCCAUGAGGCCAAUGGGACAUAACAGUCAAC
rfam:Pseudomonadales bacterium GWC1_66_9 gwc1_scaffold_10509, whole genome shotgun sequence.